rnacentral:rRNA from 1 species
UGGCGGACGGGUGAGUAACGCGUGGAAAACCUGCCGUAUACUGGGGGAUAACACUUAGAAAUAGGUGCUAAUGCCGCAUAAGCGCACAGCUUCGCAUGAAGCGGUGUGAAAAACUCUGGUGGUAUACGAUGGUUCCGCGUCUGAUUAGCUAGUUGGUGGGGUAAUGGCCUACCAAGGCAACGAUCAGUAGCCGGCCUGAGAGGGUGAACGGCCACAUUGGGACUGAGACACGGCCCAAACUCCUACGGAAGGCAGCAG